CCCGUCCACCUUUGCUCUAGAUGAGACUCAUUUCCUCGCCCGCCUUUCCCCACCAAGUCAACGCAAGCGAGCUAACUAUUUUUUUCUUUUUUCAACGCAAGCGAGCUAGCUCGUCGCCCCUUUGUUCGGUACCUCUCGAGCGGCGGGUGUUAGUGGCAGGUCCACUUCAAGCGGCCGGCUUGGUAAGGCCACCUUCAGGGCUGUAGGCGGAGGUGGCGCCUCGACUUCGAGGAGGAGGUCGGCGAUUGGUUGCAAGAGGGGGCGCCGGUCUUUGAGUAGACGUUUCCUUUUCAAGAACGGCUGCGGCGCUCAGACUCGAGCUACGUCCACCCCCUGCCUAGGUUCCAGUACGAGUAGCGAAGCGUCCCAGAAGUAGUCCCCCUUCCGGGGUAGUGAUUCUUAUCGUCACCAGAACGUGGUUCACGUUUUUCUUGGAGUUUACAAUUCCUAUUAGUUUGUGAUUUUGGCCUCUAAUAGUCGUUUUCGGCUCGCCUCGCAACCUUUUAUUGCCCACAGUAACGAAAUAGACCAAGGUCGAACUUCCGUCACGGACUCCUUCAGACCCUGACACCGAGGAGGUAUGCUCAUGAUCUACAGACAUUGUUGAGUUAACUUCGUUAAGGUGUCUUUUAACGACGGGAAUUUAGUAAUUUAUUUAACAACGAUUGGCGGUUACUGUAUAGACUACCCCCGUAGUCGACCCUUCCAGAUAGUACACAACUAUGUAAUUGUCAAAAUAGAAAUUCGGUUUUAGCUAACCAGUGAAAUGGAGGCUCAAACCCGUGUAACUGAAAAGAUGCACUUGAAACGUAACGUUUAUUGUACGAACCGUCGGAUGGACAACUUUAUCCAAACGACUUCGUCGAUCUCUAAGAAUAUCGUUUAUUGUUAUCCUAUUGAAGCGACGGAAGGAGAUAUCCGCUGACACUUAGAGAGAAACUCCACCUGAAUAGUAGUUUAGAAAAUCGGCUUGAUGGUUUCCGAACGCCUUUGGAAGUGUUAGACUUCACGACCGCCGAAUGAUGUGAACUAGAGGUACCGUGACCUUAGUGUUUACUGUAAGAAGCUGUCUACCUCCCGACCCUCCUCAAACUACUUGCAUCCGCCGUCUUCAUAGUUUUCGUCGACCUAAAAGCACAUCCUAGUAGUCCACAAAAGCUGCUCCCACGCCUACUACUAUUGGCCGUACGUAUUCACAGAAAGAAUAAUGUCUGUCCCAAAACGCGAAGGUUAUAACUGGGUCUUAAUAAGAUAUUAACUUGAACUUGUCUGUACCUCGACUAUAAUAAGGAGUGUAAACCCAACACAUAAACAAAUAAGGAGAGUAAAGUAAUGUAAAAUUAUGGUUCACUACUUUUCACCACCGAUGGACAAUUUGUAAUAGUCUCAUAAACGUAGGGGUCGUAAGUA
rnacentral:rRNA from 1 species